rnacentral:rRNA from 1 species
GACGUAGGGCGCGAGCGUUGUCCGGAUUUAUUGGGCGUAAAGAGCUCGUAGGCGGCUUGUCGCGUCGACUGUGAAAACCCGCGGCUCAACCGUGUGGUCUGCAGUCGAUACGGGCAGACUAGAGUGCGGUAGGGGAGAUUGGAAUUCCUGGUGUAGCGGUGGAAUGCGCAGAUAUCAGGAGGAACACCGAUGGCGAAGGCAGAUCUCUGGGCCGUGAACUGACGCUGAGGAGCGAAAGCGUGGGGAGCGAACAGG